rnacentral:rRNA from 1 species
UACGAAGGGGGCUAGCGUUGCUCGGAAUUACUGGGCGUAAAGGGCGCGUAGGCGGAUAGUUUAGUCAGAGGUGAAAGCCCAGGGCUCAACCUUGGAAUUGCCUUUGAUACUGGCUAUCUUGAGUUCGGGAGAGGUGAGUGGAAUGCCGAGUGUAGAGGUGAAAUUCGUAGAUAUUCGGCGGAACACCAGUGGCGAAGGCGACUCACUGGCCCGAUACUGACGCUGAGGCACGAAAGCGUGGGGAGCAAACAGG